GGGGUUAAGACCUCUUAUGAACUCAGAUACUUCAAUAUCAACAAUGAGGAAGAGGAUGAUGAUGAUGACAAGGAAUAAGUUCGUCUCCCCGUUGUUUCGUUUUUUCUGUAAAGGUUAUUUUUACAUAAAAAAAUUGUCAGUAUUAAGAUUAUUCGUAUGGAACUUUAGUAGGCUGUGUACGAAGGGAAUUAUAAUUUUGCAUUAAGAAGAUUCCAGGUUAUGAAGGAACUUGGUCUAAACAUUUGCUAGUAAGAUGUCGGAUCCAUUCAUGUGGUUGCAUGUUUCGAUUUGACCAAUAACUCGUAUCAGACAUGAAGGCUGGGAAGACAGUGAAAGUGAAGUAAAUGCAUUCUGCGUAAAGCAAUCGACCUUCAAUACAACUGUUAUCAAAUUGAGGCAAGUAAAAUAUAAUUAAGUGAAACUAAGCUAAUUUUCUAGAUCUCGAGUAAUAUUUUGUAAAUAUUUAUCUAAACUCAAAAUUGAAAGCCAGACAACAAGUAAUGGAAUGUCAUGUAUAUUUCUCAAUUUACAAAAAUUUCAUCACUUGAAUCAUAACAAAGAGCUUUAUCGACGAUUCAAAUCUAAAUCUUCCAUGAAGGAAGUUAAGUUCAGCCGAAUCUUUUUACUGCCUUGACUUACGCAUUGAAGAAGAUUCAUCAUCUGCCUAGUGAGUAUAUUCCUUCAACAAAGGCAUAAACAAAAUUAUUAGCUGCUGACGACGCGAAUUUCUUAAAUUAAAGACAACGGUAUUAAUGCUAAAUUUGAUUGAGUUACCGUUUGUUCUUGAAUCCAUUUUUCCAAAGAAUUUUCAGGUAAAUAAUAUGCCUUUAUGUAUGUUUCGACAAUAUGUGGGUCAGGAAGAGGUCUUAGACGUGUCAAGCUUUCCACUUUGACUUGAAAAUGCCUGAAGUCUAACUGCAUUAGUGCACGACCUUCGUUCGUGCAUUUCCUUACAGCGGAAAAUCUAAAGAAUUUCAAAUCGGAUACGGUCUUACAUAAAGGAGGCAGAAUCUGAGGGUAACAGACACGAAGGACACUCAAGUCGUAGUCACUGAGAACCUGCGAAAGAAAUAAGAAUUACAUCAUAGAUGGAAUAUGAUUUUUAUAGCUUUUGUUUCAACAAGAUAUAUGAAGAUAUCUGAGGGAGCAAUUUUUGGAACAAUUGGACAACAGUCUAAACCGUGUUUCCACAGAGAAUUAGGAAUACUAUAUGGACAAUCACUGUUAAACAUUUGUAACUUUUCCAAAUAACGUGUUUUGGCCUCAAUACUAAGUCCACUGGCAUAAUUAGACAGUGACAUAGUUAAACACUAACACUAUAACGAACUAAUAAAUAAAGAAAACACAUCAGAAAUUCAAAACAACCCCCUUUUCUAUCACUGUUUUUUUUCUAAAUUAAUAUUUCGCAGAACUACACAAGUCACUCGUAGCAGACGAAAAAAUACAUGAGUUGCUGCGUUUCACGAUUUCAACAAAUCUUAAAAAAGAUGUCGAACAGCCCUUAUUUUGAGUUACUACUGCAACAAAUUACUUCUAAAGCAAAUUACGUCUGAAUAAUAGUUGCAAUGGGCAAGUGUUCUAGUGGAUAAAGUUAUUUGUGAAUAAUGUUAUUCAUGAAAAUUAUUAUUACUGAACAACUUACUUGUGAUAAUAUGUUACUUAUGAAUAUAUGUAAAAAAUAAUUAAUUUUCAUUUACUAGUAAAACAAAUUACUUCUAAAGCAAAUUACUUCUGAAUAAUAGUUGCAAUGGGCAAAAGUUCUAGUGGAUAUAUUUAUUUGUAAAUAAUGUUACCUAUGAAAAUGUUAAGUAUAAAUGAUGUUAUUUCGUGUUACUUGUAAAACAAAUUACAUCUGAAACAUAGUUGCAAUGGGAAAAAGUUCUAGUGGAUAUAUUUAUCUGUGAAUCAUGUUACUAAUGAGAAAAUUUUUAUUUUGUUAUUUAUGGCAUUAAUUACCAAUGGACAUUUUUACUUGUAAAAAUAAUAUAGCUUUACUUAUACAUAUUUUUAUCAAUGGAAAUUUUUAUUUAUGGAACAUUGUAUUUCUGAAAACAUUUACUUGUGAACAGACGAAAUUUUAUUUUUACUUAUGAGCGUUGUUACUAGUGAGAAUACGUCACUCUGCAACGAUCCCCGUGCAAACGAAAGCAUGAUGUGCGUUUGAAUGGGAAGAAAACAAGUAACUUUAAGAAUUUCCUGCCGAUUCCACGGCAUUUCAUUAUUUUCGAAAAAUACUGGUGAUGACAUCACCAGCAUGAUCCUGUCUCCAUCGCUCCCAACACAUCGGUCUGUGAAGUGAUUACAACGGCUAAUUUUCUAGGGAAUUCGUCAGCCCAUUUUUGUGCAAUGGAUUCCACCGAUUUUGCCAGGACCCAUGUUUUGGGAAUCUAACGAACGAAAUUCUCAUUUCUCUGCUACUGACAAAUCAGUAAGCUCCUAAAUAAUUUUUUUCUCCAUUCAAUUUUCGAAUUUCUUCUGCAGCUUUACGACCCAAGUUUGAGUGAUCGUUUUGAGUUUAGUUGGCUCUAUGUAUUGUUAACUGUUGUAAAAAUAGACCAGCACCUGAAUGCAAUAAAUCAGAAAUUACUGAUGUAUUGCUAUUUCUUGUGGUCCUUUGUUCGUAAUUGAUUAAACGAUGGAUCGAAAAACAGUUUAGGUUGUUCAAUUAAACAAAUGCAACAAAUUUUAACUUUUAAUUGCACUAGAUUUCCCUUGUUCCUUUGAAAUGUUAAGCAUUUUGGCCGUUUUUUAAAUAAUUGGAACAAAAGUGCCUGUGGCGCAAAAUAUUUGUUUAUCGGUUUCUUACGUUUAUUGAAAAAACCUCAAGUCCAAGAUAAAAACGAAAUCUAUUUUCUUGAUCCUCGUCAAAUUUUGAGUGGAAAACAUGCAUUUUUAACUAUAUCUAGAAUUUGUCAAAAAAUGAAAAAGUGGGAAGGCUAUACCCUUCUCACUUUUGUCAAAAUCUGCAAAAAUUCACAUCUCUUGGAAUUCGCUGAAAAUUAUACGGUAUAGUCGAAAUUGAAUGCAGAUUUCAGAAAACAUAUUAGUUUCCCCAUUAAUUAUAUAAUUUCUUAAUAAGACGCAAUUAAAGUGGUUAUGGGUAUGGCGCAUCUGUUUUUAGUCCCAAGUAAAAUCGAAAUAGAUUUUUGUGAUCCUCGUUGAUUUUUUUAUCUAAAUCAUACAUGUUCAUGGUAUGGACAAAUGCAAGAAGAUUGAACAAAAUGCUAAAGCGCAACAAAAGAAUAAAAGACUUCCAACUUCCGCCCACAAAGAUGUCUAAGGAAAAACCUAAAGUUGGAGCUUGAUACAUUUUUUUCUCAUGGAAAGUUUUGUAAAACAAAUGGCAAACUGGUUAAAUGAAACUUGAUUCCUUUUUUUUUAAUUCGUUAAUUAAUUUUUGUGUGUGUGUUUUUUGUUCUGUUAUGGUGGAACGGUGGAGAGAAAAGAUGUUCGCGAAUAUGGGCAAUUCGAGAUCCAAGUAGAAACGGAGUGCAUAUUGUUUAAAGGCUUAUAGACUGGUAUUACUGACCAAUGUUGACAGCGUAGACAAGGUUACAGAAAGGUUGCAUUGAUCUUAAUGGCUGGUGUACAAUUACAGGACGAAAAAUGUCAUCAGCUGACGGAACAGCUGACAUGCCCAUAAAAAUUCUACGGAGUUAGUUAUUUCUCCCCUAGAUGUCUUGAAAAUAUACGGGAAAUGUCAGCUGUCCCGUCAGCUGUUCCAUUUCGCGUGGCUUCUGACUGAGGAUGGCUGCUGAUACGAACUUCUCUCUUCUUGAAAUUUUACCACCUAUGCCGUGUGUUUUGAGUUGCAUCUGGUGAAUUCAAUCAAUGCUGAGUUGUUCAAGGAGGAACAUGGCUUGGCUUUGCUAGCACGUUUUUCAUCUCCGUUAGUCUGAUAUACCCAUUUUGUUUCAAAGGUCUUUAUCACCUGAUGUACUGUUGUGGCUGUGGAAUCAUUCAGUGACUUGGUUCAAUCCAGGACUUGGUUUCUUCGAAAAUGGUUUACAGUUUUAAUUUGCAGAGAUCCUGGAGGCACCUGAUGUGUUUCAUUGGCGUUGGAGUCACUCGGUGACAGAAGAGAAUGCCUCUAAUGUUAUGUUGUCAGUGUAAAUAAAACAUAUUCAGUAUCA
rnacentral:lncRNA from 1 species